GGAAGUAAAAGUCGGUAACAAGGUCUCCGUUGGUGAACCAGCGGAGGGAUCAUUACCAGAGUUUUACAACUCCCAACCCUUCUGUGAACCUACCUAUCGUUGCUUCGGCGGACUCGCCCCAGCGUCCGGACGGCCCCGCGCCGGCCCGCGACCUGGACCCAGGCGGCCGCCGGAGACCACACAAUCCUGUAUCCAUCAGUCUCUCUGAAUCCGCCGCAAGGCAAAACAAACGAAUCAAAACUUUCAACAAUGGAUCUCUUGGUUCUG
rnacentral:misc_RNA from 1 species